GACGAACGCUGGCGGCGCGCUUAACACAUGCAAGUCGAGCGAUGAAAUUUCGACAGAUCCCUUCGGGGUGAAGAUGAAAUGGAUUAGCGGCGGACGGGGGAGUAACACGUGAGUAACCUGCCUUUGACAUUGGGAUAGCCUCGGGAAACUGGGAUUAAUACCAAAUGACACUAACUGAUCACAUGAUCAAUUAGUCAAAGAAAUUCGGUCAAAGAUGGACUCGCGGCUGAUUAGCUAGUUGGUGAGGUAACGGCCCACCAAGGCGACGAUCAGUAGCCGGCCUGAGAGGGUGAUCGGCCACAUUGGAACUGAGACACGGUCCAAACUCCUACGGGAGGCAGCAGUGGGGAAUAUUGCACAAUGGGGGAAACCCUGAUGCAGCGACGCCGCGUGAGCGAAGAAGGCCUUCGGGUCGUAAAGCUCUUUUAUGAGGGAAGAUAAUGACGGUACCUCAAGAAAAAGCCCCGGCUAACUACGUG
rnacentral:rRNA from 1 species